UUGGAGGGCAAGUCUGGUGCCAGCAGCCGCGGUAAUUCCAGCUCCAAUAGCGUAUAUUAAAGUUGUUGCAGUUAAAAAGCUCGUAGUUGAACUUCGGGGUCUACCCAUUGGUCAGGCUUAAUUGUCUGCACUGGUGAGAUGGAUCUCUACCUCUCUGAGGAACUUUCAUGCCAUUUAUUUGGUGUGAUUGGAAAUCAGGACUGUUACUUUGAAAAAAUUAGAGUGUUUAAAGCAGACUAUCGUCUGAAUACAUUAGCAUGGAAUAAUGAAAUAGGACGGACUGAUUCUAUUUCGUUGGUUUCUAGGAUCACCGUAAUGAUUAAUAGGGAUAGUUGGGGGCAUUAGUAUUCAAUUGUCAGAGGUGAAAUUCUUGGAUUUAUUGAAGACUAACUACUGCGAAAGCAUUUGCCAAGGAUGUUUUCAUUAAUCAAGAACGAAAGUUAGGGGAUCGAAGACGAUCAGAUACCGUCGUAGUCUUAACCAUAAACUAUGCCGACUAGGGAUCGGACGAAGUUAAUUUUAUAAUGACGCGUUCGGCGCCUUACGGGAAAC
rnacentral:rRNA from 1 species